CUAGCGAUCCGUCGGCGUUAAUUUAUGACUCGACGGGCAGCUUCCGGGAAACCAAAGUUUUUGGGUUCCGGGGGAAGUAUGGUUGCAAAGCUGAAACUUAAAGGAAUUGACGGAAGGGCACCACCAGGAGUGGAGCCUGCGGCUUAAUUUGACUCAACACGGGAAAACUUACCCGGCCCGGACACUGGAAGGAUUGACAGAUUGAGAGCUCUUUCUUGAUUCAGUGGGUGGUGGUGCAUGGCCGUUCUUAGUUGGUGGAGCGAUUUGUCUGGUUAAUUCCGAUAACGAACGAGACUCUAGCCUACUAAAUAGACUGUUCAGCUUUAUAGCCGGAAUCACCGGGCACGUAGCUCUCGGGUUGCGUGUUCGGCUCUGGUGACGUUGACAGUGCUUCUUAGAGGGACAGGCGGCGGUUCAGCCGCACGAAACAGAGCAAUAACAGGUCUGUGAUGCCCUUAGAUGUCCGGGGCUGCACGCGCGCUACACUGGAGGAAUCAACAUGCUUCUCAACCUUGCCCGGAAGGGCUAGGUAACCCGUUGAAACUCCUUCGUGAUUGGGAUAGGGAAUUGCAAUUAUUUCCCUUGAACGAGGAAUUCCCAGUAAGUGCGGGUCAUCAGCUCGCGCUGAUUACGUCCCUGCCCUUUGUACACACCGCCCGUCGCUACUACCGAUUGGAGGUAGAGCAGAGGCCUCGGGAUUGAUCUCUGGACUGGUUUCCGCUAGCCCAGAGUAUUGAGAACUUGGUCUAUGCC
rnacentral:rRNA from 1 species